GUAACGCGUGGGAACAUACCCUCCGGUUCGGAAUAGCUCAGGGAAACUUGGAUUAAUACCGGAUACGGCUUAGCGGCGAAAGAUUCAUCGCCGGAGGAUUGGCCCGCGUUCGAUUAGCUAGUUGGCGGGGUAAUGGCCCACCAAGGCGACGAUCGAUAGCUGGUCUGAGAGGAUGAUCAGCCACAUUGGGACUGAGACACGGCCCAAACUCCUACGGGAGGCAGCAGUGGGGAAUAUUGGACAAUGGGCGCAAGCCUGAUCCAGCCAUGCCGCGUGAGUGAUGACGGCCUUAGGGUUGUAAAGCUCUUUCGCUAGGGACGAUAAUGACGGUACCUAGACAAGAAGCCCCGGCUAACUUCGUGCCAGCAGCCGCGGUAAUACGAAGGGGGCUAGCGUUGUUCGGAAUUACUGGGCGUAAAGCGCGUGUAGGCGGGCGAAUAAGUCAGGGGUGAAAUGCCAAGGCUCAACCUUGGAACUGCCUUUGAUACUGUUUGUCUUGAGUCCGGGAGAGGUGAGUGGAACUGCGAGUGUAGAGGUGAAAUUCGUAGAUAUUCGCAAGAACACCAGUGGCGAAGGCGGCUCACUGGCCCGGAACUGACGCUGAGACGCGAAAGCGUGGGGAGCAAACAGGAUUAGAUACCCUGGUAGUCCACGCUGUAAACGAUGGAUGCUAGCCGUUGGGGAGCUUGCUCCUCAGUGGCGCAGCUAACGCUUUAAGCAUCCCGCCUGGGGAGUACGGUCGCAAGAUUAAA
rnacentral:rRNA from 1 species